rnacentral:misc_RNA from 1 species
AACACUGUUAACCUGCGGUACCUGCGGAAGGAUCAUUCAAAAAAUUCUUGAUGAUACACCCCCUUGUGUGCACUCGUAUUAUUACCCCCCAUUUUUGGCAUGACCUUUAGCAUGGGGUCCAGCUUUGCCGGACCCCUGAGUUAAGGCCUACCUUGGCGUUAGUCGUCUCGGUAGGAAGCGCAUGCCAGAGUGGUUUAUAAUCAACUCGUUUUUUUAUGUAUUGUCUGAACUUGAUUUUAU